rnacentral:rRNA from 1 species
AUUGAACGCUGGCGGCAGGCCUAACACAUGCGAGUCGAGCGGAUGAGUGGAGCUUGCUCCAUGAUUCAGCGGCGGACGGGUGAGUAAUGCCUAGGAAUCUGCCUGGUAGUGGGGGACAACGUUUCGAAAGGAACGCUAAUACCGCAUACGUCCUACGGGAGAAAGCAGGGGACCUUCGGGCCUUGCGCUAUCAGAUGAGCCUAGGUCGGAUUAGCUAGUAGGUGAGGUAAUGGCUCACCUAGGCGACGAUCCGUAACUGGUCUGAGAGGAUGAUCAGUCACACUGGAACUGAGACACGGUCCAGACUCCCACGGGAGGCAGCAGUGGGGAAUAUUGGACAAUGGGCGAAAGCCUGAUCCAGCCAUGCCGCGUGUGUGAAGAAGGUCUUCGGAUUGUAAAGCACUUUAAGUUGGGAGGAAGGGCAGUAAGUUAAUACCUUGCUGUUUUGACGUUACCAACAGAAUAAGCACCGGCUAACUUCGUGCCAGCAGCCGCCGUAA